rnacentral:lncRNA from 1 species
CUAUAAUGAACAGAGAGCGAACAAGAAGGUGGGGAAGUUGGUGACCCAGGGAAGGACAUCAGUUCAUUGGCACGGCUUCACGUGAGCGGUAGCUGUGUUCAAAAACGUUUUUCAAGACAAUGGAAUCGUCCGGUUAGAAUAUUACUGAAGUUUCACGUUAUAAAGGCCCUACAGAUUGAUGCAUUACAACGUUUGACAUGUUUGAACGAACGUAAAUAUAACAUUUUUGUAACUUUUCGUCAUGACAUUUUCCGCGCGCUUCCUACACUUGGAGUAGCUAACUGAACACGCUAACGACAAGGAGCUAUUUGGACAUAAAUGAUGGAGUUUAUCGAACAAAGCAACAUUUAUUGUGGACCUGGGAUUCCUGGAAGUGCCUUCUGAUGAAGAUCAUCAAAGGAUCUGAGCCCUAGGACCAUGCCUCAGGACUACCUGGCCUGAUGACUCCUUGCUGUCCCCAGUCCACCUGUUUGUGCUGCUGCUUCAGUUUCAACUGUUCUGCCUGCAGCUAUGGAACCCUGACCUGUUCACCGGACGUGCUGCCUUGUCCCGGACCUGCAAUUUUCGACCCUCUCUCUCUACCGCACCUUCUGUCUCUAACUCUGAAUGAUCAGCUAUGAAAAGCCAACUGACAUUUACUGCUGAGGUGCUGACCUGUUGCACCCUCUACAACCACUGUGAUUAUUAUUAUUUGACCCUUGCUGGUCAUCUUGGCCAUGUACUGUUAUAAUCUCUACCCGGCACAGCCAGAAGAGGACUGGCCACCCCUCAGAGCCUGGUUCCUCUCUAGGUCUCUUCCUCGGUUCCUGCCUUUCUAGGGAAUUUUUCCUAGCCACCGUGCUUCUACAUCUGCAUUGUUUGGGGUUUUAGGCUGGGUUUCUGUAUAGCAUUUUGUGACAUCGGCUGAUGUAAAAAAG